rnacentral:rRNA from 1 species
GACGAACGCUGGCGGCGUGCUUAACACAUGCCAGUCGAACGGAAAGGCCCUGCUUUUGUGGGGUGCUCGAGUGGCGAACGGGUGCGUAACACGUGAGUAACCUGCCCUUGACUUUGGGAUAACUUCAGGAAACUGGGGCUAAUACCGGAUAGGAGCUCCUGCUGCAUGGUGGGGGUUGGAAAGUUUCGGCGGUUGGGUAUGGACUCGCGGCUUAUCAGCUUGUUGGUGGGGUAGUGGCUUACCAAGGCUUUGACGGGUAGCCGGCCUGAGAGGGUGACCGGCCACAUUGGGACUGAGAUACGGCCCAGACUCCUACGGGAGGCAGCAGUGGGGAAUAUUGCACAAUGGGCGGAAGCCUGAUGCAGCAACGCCGCGUGCGGGAUGACGGCCUUCGGGUUGUAAACCGCUUUCGCCUGUGACGAAGCGUGAGUGACGGUAAUGGGUAAAGAAGCACCGGCUAACUACGUG